rnacentral:lncRNA from 1 species
AGUCCCUGGUCCCUGGAGAGGGGAUCUGGGUCUCUCUGCAUCCAGUGGGAGAGCCUGAAUAGACCUGCAGGAGAGUUCCAGAGAUGUGGGUUCAAGUUCCAGUUCUGCCACUUACGAUUCCAUGAUCCACAGCGAAUUCCUUGUGCCUCAGUUGCCUCACUUGUAAACAAGAGUAAUAACAGUUCUUUACCUAUCUCAGUGGGAAGGUUGAACAACUCCAAGCUCCAUGACUUGCACAGGUAAACACAAAGAGCCUUGAAUGUACUAUUUCACAGGUGUAAUUAUCUCUAUCCUGCAAGUGAGUUAAAUAGCACAUUCUCCAUUACUAAAUGUCUGAGUGGGAAUCUGAAUCCAAUUCAGUCUAAUUCCGAGUCAUUAUCUUCCCUCUGAACCAUAAGGCUGGGCUCAGUUAGGUAUUCAAAUCUGAGCUGUGGGACUUGUAUCUAGAAUAUAUAAAGAACACUUACAACUCAAUAAUCAAAAAGACAAAUAACUCAAUUAGAAUAUGGGCAAAGGAUCUGAAUAUCCAUUUCUCCAUGGAAGGCAUACGAAUGACCAAAAAGCAAAUGAAAAGAUGCUGCACAUCAUCAGGCAUCAGGGAAAUACAAAUCAAAACCACGAGGAAAUGCCACUUCACACCCAGUAAGAUGGGGAUAACCAAA